rnacentral:rRNA from 1 species
GUAGGUGGCAAGCGUUGUCCGGGAAUUAUUGGGGCGUAAAGCGCGCGCAGGCGGUUCUUUAAGGUCUGAUGUGAAAGCCCACGGGCUCAACCGUGGAGGGUCAUUGGAAACUGGAGAACUUGAGUACAGAAGAGGAAAGCGGAAUUCCACGUGUAGCGGUGAAAUGCGUAGAGAUGUGGAGGAACACCAGUGGCGAAGGCGGCUUUCUGGUCUGUAACUGACGCUGAGGCGACGAAAGCGGUGGGGAGACAAACAGGUAUUAGACUACCCGUGGUAGUCCACCGACCGUAAACGAUGAGUGACUAAGUGGUUUACGGGGGUUUCCCGCCCUUAGUGUUGCAGCUAACGCAUUAAGCACUCCGCCUGGGGAGUACGGCCGCAAAGGCUGA